AUCUUUCUGGGAGCAGCUUUGGGAGUGUGUGUGGUUGUGAUCUCUGCUGAAACCAUUAUAAUCUUUAAGAGGAGAAACAGUGACCACGGCAGUGAGAAAAAACUACAAGGUUCAUCAGCAGAGAACACAACCAGUCAGACUGCUGAGAGUCUGAAUUACGCUCCCAUCCAUUUCAAAGAGAACAAAGCCAAACCUGGACGAGUGAAGAGAGAACAGCCUGAAGACAUUGUUUACUCUCAAGUGAGAAGCUCUAAUGCUAAAGCUCAUCGAUCUCAUCGCUAGAUCUCUUUCCUGUAGUGAGCAGUAGUGAAGUUUGGGGAUGUUUUUAUUUUACUGGGAUAUUCAGAGCUGCACAUGAUCUCCAGGUUAGUUUAGUGAUGUUUAUGAUUUCUCUUGAUUUUGGACUGUGAGGGUGUUUGCUGUUUUUAUUGAUGUUUGCCAGGAUCUACAGUGAAGUGCUGUGCUUUGAUUAGCAGUUUGUUUAAAAAAG